UCUNCCGCAAUGGACGAAAGUCUGACGGAGCNACGCCCCGUGAGUGAUGAAGGUUUUCGGGUCGUAAAACUCUUUUUUUAGGGAAGCACAAGUACCGUUCGAAUAGGGCGGUACCUUGACGGUACCUACCCAGAAAGCCACGGCUAACUACGUGCCAGCCGCCGCGGUAAUACGUAGGUGGCAAGCGUUGUCCGGAAUUAUUGGGCGUAAAGCGAGCGCAGGCGGUUUCUUAAGUCUGAUGUGAAAGCCCCCGGCUCAACCGGGGAGGGUCAUUGGAAACUGGGGAACUUGAGUGCAGAAGAGGAGAGUGGAAUUCCACGUGUAGCGGUGAAAUGCGUAGAGAUGUGGAGGAACACCAGUGGCGAAGGCGACUCUCUGGUCUGUAACUGACGCUGAGGCGCGAAAGCGUGGGGAGCGAACAG
rnacentral:rRNA from 1 species